rnacentral:ribozyme from 11 species
AAAAGCAAGAAAGAGAGAGAGAGAGAGAAAAAUAGAAAGCGACGAUGGACCUUUCUUUUUCUCUUCUCUCUCAAGGUUUUCUCUUUUUC